rnacentral:rRNA from 1 species
AGCGAACGCUGGCGGCAGGCUUAACACAUGCAAGUCGAGCGGGCAUCCUUGUGGUGUCAGCGGCAGACGGGUGAGUAACGCGUGGGAACGUGCCCUUCGGUUCGGAAUAACUCAGGGAAACUUGAGCUAAUACCGGAUACGUUCGAGAGCAGAAAGGUUUAUCUGCCGAAGGAUCGGCCCGCGUCUGAUUAGCUAGUUGGUGAGGUUAUGGCUCACCAAGGCGACGAUCAGUAGCUGGUCUGAGAGGAUGAUCAGCCACACUGGGACUGAGACACGGCCCAGACUCCUACGGGAGGCAGCAGUGGGGAAUAUUGGACGAUGGGGGCAACCCUGACCCAGCCAUGCCGCGUGAGUGAUGACGGCCUUAGGGUUGUAAAGCUCUUUUCUUCGGGACGAUAAUGACGGUACCGGAGGAAUAAGCCCCGGCUAACUUCGUG